UACGGAGGGUGCAAGCGUUAAUCGGAAUUACUGGGCGUAAAGCGUGCGUAGGCGGUUGGCAAAGUCAGCUGUGAAAGCCCCGGGCUUAACCUGGGAAUGGCGGUUGAAACUAGUCGACUAGAAUCUGGCAGAGGGGGGUGGAAUUCCACGUGUAGCAGUGAAAUGCGUAGAGAUGUGGAGGAACACCGAUGGCGAAGGCAGCCCCCUGGGCUGAGAUUGACGCUCAGGCACGAAAGCGUGGGGAGCAAACAGG
rnacentral:rRNA from 1 species